UACAGAGGGUGCGAGCGUUGUCCGGAAUCACUGGGCGUAAAGGGCGCGUAGGCGGCCCGAUAAGUAGGGGGUGAAAUCUUGCGGCUCAACCGCAAGGCUGCCUUCUAAACUGUCGGGCUGGAGCACGGUAGAGGCAGAUGGAAUUCCCGGUGUAGCGGUGGAAUGCGUAGAGAUCGGGAAGAACACCAGUGGCGAAGGCGACUACCUGGCCUGUUUCUUGACGCUGAGGCGCGAAAGCUAGGGGAGCAAACGGG
rnacentral:rRNA from 1 species